rnacentral:rRNA from 1 species
CGUAAUUCCAGCUCGAAUAGCGUAUGUUAAAUUUGCUGCGGUUAAAAAGCUCGUAGUUGGGAGUCAGGAGAUGAACUGUGCGCUGUCAUGUCACAAAAUGACGUGUAUAGCAUUGCACCAGAUUCACUUCUUUAACAUCGCUGCUCCUGCGUCGUCAAAGACCCAAUUAAGUUUGGGAGGCGCAUUUAAAAGGGAAGGCGAGUAACUACUUUGAGAAAAUUAGCGUGCUUAACGCAAGCGUCUUGCUUGAAUACUGUUGCAUGGAAUAAUGAGAUAGGACCUUGGUUCUGUUUCGUUGGUUUCCGGAAGCCGAGGUAAUGAUUGAUAGGGAUAAACGUGGGCAUUCGUAUUGUGGUGUUAGAGGUGAAAUUCGAUGAUCACCGCAAGACGUACAACUGCGAAAGCAUUUGCCAAGAAUGUUUUCAUUAAUCAAGAACGAAAGUUAGAGUUUCGAAGACGAUUAGAUACCGUCCUAGUUCUAACUAUAAACUAUGCCAACUGGGCAUCUGGCGCUUGCAACUUAAAAGCAUCGCCAGGCACCCCGCGGGAAACCAAAGUUAUUGGGUUCCGGGGGGAGUAUGGUUGCAAAAUCGAAACUUAAAGGAAUUGACGGAGGGGCACACCAGAAGUGGAGCCUGCGGCUUAAUUUGC